AUUGAACGCUGGCGGCAGGCCUAACACAUGCAAGUCGAGCGAGCGGCGGACGGGUGCGUAAUGUCUGGGAAACUGCCUGAUGGAGGGGGAUAACUACUGGAAACGGUAGCUAAUACCGCAUACCAUCAGAUGUGCCCAGAUGGGAUUAGCUAGUAGGUGGGGUAACGGCUCACCUAGGCGACGAUCCCUAGCUGGGCUGAGAGGAUGACCAGCCACACUGGAACUGAGACACGGUCAAGACUACUACGGGAGGCAGCAAUGGGGAAUAUUGCACAAUGGACGCAAGCCGGAUGCAGCCAUGCCGCGUGAGUGAGGAAGACCUUCGGGUUGUAAAGCACUUUCAGCGGGGAGGCGUUGCCCGCAGGAGAAGCACCGGCUGACACCGUGCCAGCAGCCGCGGUAAUUC
rnacentral:rRNA from 1 species